GACGUAGGGCGCAAGCGUUGUCCGGAUUUAUUGGGCGUAAAGCGUCCGUAGGUGGCACUUCAAGUCUGCGGUCAAAGACCGGGGCUUAACCCUGGAAAGGCCGUGGAAACUGAAGUGCUAGAGUGCAGUAGGGGUAGAGGGAAUUCCCGGUGUAGCGGUGAAAUGCGUAGAGCUCGGGAAGAACAUCGGUGGCGAAAGCGCUCUACUGGACUGCAACUGACACUGAGGGACGAAAGCUAGGGGAGCGAAUGGG
rnacentral:rRNA from 1 species